rnacentral:lncRNA from 1 species
GGGGUGUUAAAGGUGUCAUAAGAUUGAGUCGGUCUGGUACGUCGAGUCGGUUAAGUCUAUGGUUUGACGUGUGUGGCAAUGAGUGAGAUCAUUGUAUUGAUUGAUCGCUAGGUUGUUAGAAAUAUAUAGAAUUGAAUGUGUGGAAAUAAAUGAUAAUGAUAUGAAAUGUUAGGAUGCAUUAACUGAUUGUGGUGGCUAGUCAGCCCUAGUUCCCGCAUAGAGUAGUAUAGAGUGUCAUGCGGGCAGGCUUGUCUAGAUUCACUUCACUGAGUAACUUGUUGAUCAUCCUUCCCUUUCCAUUGCCCUGUGCGCAGGACUGUAAGUAGAAAUAUGGAUGUGGGUUUGAUGGUAUUUCAAAGACGGUUAUGCGUCUGUCGACUCUUAGGACCAGUAACGGGACACGUAAGGUUGUCUAAAUGAGUAGACAUGGUCUAUAACGCCCUUUCGAUAACCCCGGUCGGACGCCGGGGGAUCGGGCCGUUACAAUUGGUAUCAGAGCGGGUUAAGAUCCCUUAGUUAUGUCCUAAGGGAUCGGCAUUUCCGACGUUUUCAAAAAAAAAAAAAAACUUGUUUUCACUAAAAGAUAAGAGUGUGUGAUAGUUUUGAUUUUUCUUAAAGUUGUGAACGAAUUUCAAAACCACCCACUAUAACUAUACUUCUAUUAUGGUUAUGAUCGGAUGUCUACUUGAAGGAUGUCUUUGACAAUCAGUAACGACCAGAGUGACAAUUACGGAUAUCGUGGACCUGCAUGGUGGAACCCGAUCUACACUCGGACUCAGUGCACCAUAAAGGGAAAGGUGGUACCCCAUCGGUGACACCCAUUGACGAAGUUUCAU